ACACUCCUACGGGAGGCAGCAGUAGGGAAUCUUCCACAAUGGGUGCAAACCUGAUGGAGCAAUGCCGCGUGAGUGAAGAAGGUCUUCGGAUCGUAAAGCUCUGUUGUUAGAGAAGAACACGUGCUAGGUAACUACUAGCGCCUUGACGGUAUCUAACCAGAAAGUCACGGCUAACUACGUGCCAGCAGCCGCGGUAAUACGUAGGUGACAAGCGUUGUCCGGAUUUAUUGGGCGUAAAGGGAGCGCAGGCGGUCUGUUUAGUCUAAUGUGAAAGCCCACGGCUUAACCGUGGAACGGCAUUGGAAACUGACAGACUUGAAUGUAGAAGAGGAAAAUGGAAUUCCAAGUGUAGCGGUGGAAUGCGUAGAUAUUUGGAGGAACACCAGUGGCGAAGGCGAUUUUCUGGUCUAACAUUGACGCUGAGGCUCGAAAGCGUGGGGAGCGAACAGGAUUAGAAACCCGGGUAGUCCCAU
rnacentral:rRNA from 1 species